ensembl:lncRNA
CAUAACCAUUUAUAAAACAUAACCCUGGACCCCUGAUGAUGGGGGUUCAAACCCUCUCUCUCUAUAUGUAUGUGUGUGUGUCUAUGUGUGUCAUGGUCGCAUACUGUAAUAUUUCCCUUCUGACAGGAUUGCAUCAGCUGAAUGAUAACUGAUGUAAUUUACUUGUGGUCCCUUAUAACUCUCAUAUGGCUCUAUCAUAUGGCAAAUUGAAUGUUAUUUCUAGAAUUUGUAUUUCCUGUUCCAUUCAUUGCCACCAGGUGGCAGCUCUCAUUUAAACAUCUUUGGCCAGCCCAAUUAAAAGUGAGUAAAGUGGAAACAUAAUAUUACAGUUACAUAACUGACAUCAGAGAAAGUAUUACUUGUUUCAUCAGCCAUUUAUAAAAGCCAUUUUACUCCCUGGACCACAAGUCAUGUAUGUUCUCUGGACUCUAUGACAAGGUUAGAGUUCAUGUUGGAGCGGCAGGUAGCCUAGUGGUUAGAGCGUUGGACUAGUAACUGAAAGGUUGCAAGAUUGAAUCCCCGAGCUGACAAGGUAAUAAUCUGUCGUUCUGCCCCUGAACAAGGCAGUUAUAACCCACUGUUCCUAGGCUGUCAUUGAAAAUAAGAAUUUGUUCUGAACUGACUUGCCUAGUUAAAUAAAGGAAAAAAAUGUUCUGUAGGCCUAAUACAUUUGGCUGUUGAUUAAAUAUAGAUGUCAAUGCAUUCCAGCACACUGAUAUCAUAGUUGAGGGUCUGUUGCUGUCCUCUAAAAAGCUGAAAAGAAACACCUUUGCAGAGUGGAUGAGGCCAACACACAUACUGUGCCCUACAUUAUAUGAGCAUAACACUCAUGGGAAUUUCACUUACUCCAACAUGUUCUCAGAGCAGAACGGAUUAUGAUUGGUUGCAUCAGACAACCAAUGGAGGAGGUGGGAGGAGGUGCAGUAUCCCAUCAUUCAGGUCAUGUGGGGCAGACCUGUUUUGUGACCCACAUGUUUUGCUUGCCAGUAAACAAUUUUGCUGCUCUAAGGGAAGUUUGAGUCAACUGGGUCUUCUGCUGCUCUAACAGCAGAACUGUCAGUACUGGCCAUCAACACAGUCAGUACUGGCCAUCAACACAGUCAGUACUCCACAUUCCUCUUCCCCCAUUUUCCUACAUUAUUUUAUUCCCUAUUUAUGAUGUUGUGAACUUGUGACCCAUGUGAAAUCCACUUAAAACAAAACUCUUAAAAUAAACAUGAGUACUAACAUGUCAUUAUUUCCUGACUGUAAAACAUUCAUUAUUGAGUUGGCGAAGAUCACAUGAUGUACGUUGGGUCAUCUUUUUUCUCCUAGGCAUGUAACGAGCUGGGUCAGAUCUGGAUGUAGUCAGGUGUGAGUGAGCACGCCGUGUUUGAAUACAUCCAGCUCAUCAUACAGAGGUUUUGUGUAGAUAUGGUGUAGUUGUGAUCGGUAGUAAUUCAGCAGCACUCUUUCAUGAGGGAGACCGCCUGCUUCGACUGUAUGUCACAACACACACUAACUCUAUAAGCAAUUGUUUUCUAUUUAAUCUGACAGAGUUUCAGAGGAUCUGCAGAGAACAAUGGGAGUAGGAUUCAAUCUUAAUCCUUUAUUGACGUUUUGCCUGUUUGAUGGUUCAUCUGAGGCCGUAAGAGGAUUUCUUAUAAGCGUCCGGAUUAGUGUCUCGCUCCUUGAAAGCGGCAGCUCUAGCCUUUAACUCGACGCGGAUGCUGCCUCUAAUCCAUAGCUUCUGGUUGGGAUAUGUACAUAUGGUCACUGUGGGGACAUGUCAUCAAUGCACUUAUUGAUGAGGCCGACAACUGAGCUGGUAUACUCCUCAAUGCCAUUGGAUGAAUCCCGGAACAUAUUCCAGUCUGUGGUAGCAAAGCAGUCCUGUAGCUUUUCAUCCGCGUCAUCUGACCACUUCGGUAUUGAGCGAGUUACUGGUACUUCCUGCUUUAGUUUUUGCUUGUAAGCAGGAAUCAGGAGGAUAUAAUUAUGGUCAGAUUUGCCAAAUGGAGGAAGAGGGAGAGAUUUCUAUGCAUCUCUGUACGUGGAGUAAAGGUGGUCUAGAGUUUUUUCCCCCUCUGGUUGCACAUGUGACAUGCUGGUAGAAAUGAGUUAAACUGAUUUAAGUUUGCCUGCAAUAAUGUCCCCGGCCACUAGCUGCACCGCUUCUGGAUGAGCAUUUUCUUGUUUGCUUAUGACCUUAUACAGCUCGUUGAGUGCGGUCUUAGUGCCAGCAUCGGUUUGUGGUGGUAAAUAGACGGCUACGAAUAAUAUAUAUCUCUGUAGAUAGUGUGGUCUACAGCUUGUCAUUAUCUACUCUACCUCAGGCGAGCAUUACCUCUAGACUGUUUAAAAUAUUACACAUCGCACACAAGCUGUUAUUGACAAAUAGACACACACCCCCACCCCUCGUCUUACCAGACGUAGCUUCCUUGUCUUGCCGAUGCAUGGAAAAUCCCGCCAGCUCUAUAUUAUCCGUGUCGUCGUUCAGCCACCACUCUGUGAAACAUAAGAUAUGACAGUUUUUAAUGUCCUGUUGGUAGGAUAAUCUUGCACGUUGGCCAAUAGAACAGAUGGUAGUGGAGGUUUACUCACUCGCCUAUGAAUUCUCAGAAGGCAGCCUGACCUCCGCCCCCUUUUUUCACGCAAAUGACGGGGAUUUGGGGUCAUUCCCGAGAAAGCAGUAUAUCCUUUGCUUCGGACUCGUUAAAGAACAAAUCUUCGUCCAGUUCGAGGUGAGUAAUCGCUGUCCAGAAGUUAUUUUUGGUCAUAAGAGAUGGUAGCAGCAACAUUAUGUACAAAAUAAGUUUAAAAAAAAAAAAAGUGACAAACAACGCCAAAAAAAAUAACAAAACAGCACAGUUGGUUAAGAGCCCGUGAAACGGCAGCCAUCCUCUCCGGCGCCAUACUCGCUACUUCCAAUGAUUUUGAUCAUGUUAUGUUAAACUGUGUCUCCCUACUGUGUUUUCCACGACAGCCAAAGUGUUCCUGACUGUGCCCCUCGAAAACCUAGCUGCCAUUCACACUUAGAGGAGGGAGUACGAGACUGCAGAGUACGAGAUAGCCCUGAACAUCAGGAUGAGAGCUUGGACACCAACCCCUCCCUGGCCUACACCCUCACAUGAAAUUGUGCCAUUCUGAACUUAAUCCGCAAAGUUACACCAUUUGUUUGUGACUUGAGCCAUUUCUCCUAUCCAGCUGUCUUGUCCCCUCGUUGAAACUCCCGUGCGGACUCGGGAGAGGAGAAGGUCGAGAGCCGUGCGUCCUCCAAAACACAACCCAGCCAAGCCGCACUGCUUCUUGACACAAUGCCUGCUUAACCCGGAAGCCCCCCGCACCAAUAUGCCGGAGGACACAGCGUACACCUGCCGACCAUGUCAGCGUGCAUGCACCCGGCCCGCCACAGGAGUCACCGUUGCACGAUGGGACAAGGACAUUCUGGCUGGCCAAACCCUCCCCUAACCCGGACGGCGCUGGGCCAAUUGUGCGUCACCCCAUGGAUCUCCUGGUCGCGGCCGGCUGUGACACAGCCUGGAAUCGAACAAGCAUUUCUAGUGGCACAGCUAGCACUGCAAUGCAGUGCCUUAGUCUACUGUGCCACUCGGGAGGCCCAUACCUCUUUCUAAACCUUGUUUUCUCUCUUCUCUGUCCAUCUUCCUCUCCUCCCUCUCUUUCCCCCAGCUGUGCGGAGGGGGUCUUUGAGAAAGCAGCGGAGCUUUACAAGCGAUCCAUGGAGAUCAAAGAGUCGGAACAGUCUCUGGUUUGUGGAAGGCCCCGUGUCGACACUAGUCCUGUGGGGACAUGUUUAGCCUGCGAGGGUCCACACCUCUCCCACAUGCCCCCAGAAAUGCAUUGGUGGAGAAGGUCAGAGGGAGGGACCUUGCAGAGACUGAAAAACAGCUUCUAUCUCAAGGCCAUCAGACUGUUAAAUAGCCAUGACUAACAUUGAGUGGCUUCUGCCAACAUACAGACUCAAUCUCUAGUCACUUUAAUAAUUAAUAAUUGGAUGUAAUAAAGGUAUCACUAGUCACUUAAAUAAUGCCACUUUAUACAAUGUUUACAUACCCUACAGCUGGGGAUGGCCUUCAUGGCCAUAGCGGGGAAGAAGUCCUGCAUAGUGUGGUCGUCCAGAUCCAAACUAAUGCCAUUCAGAUCUUACUUGAUCCCUGAGCUGAUGCCGACUAGGCCAUACAUGUGUGCCAGGGUCUGUGGCACUAACCACACAAGCCACCAAAUCUUGUGUCGUGAACCCAUUUCUCCGCCACGUAACCUUGAAGAAAAUAAAGACAAGCACAAGAGACAACCAAUUAUAACUUAAGCCAUUACCAAUCAUCUGUAAACAGAGGUACAGAAGACAAGGUAGAAAAAUAUUCGAUAAACAACGUUUAUCUUACUAACAAUGGUCUCCAGUCUUAUGUCGAGGACGGUAUUGAAGCCAUGGGACAUUUUCUUUUGCAACGUGACCCAAAUGAACUCCCUUCCAGUGCAUGCCUUAUAAUAUUGGCUGAAAUAGUACUCACACAUGACUAUUUAAUAUUUCUAAACAAUUUCUUUAUCCAGACAAAGUGUACUGCUAUGGGAUCCCCCUAUGGCUCCUAACUAUGCUCAUUUGUAUGUGGGUUACAUGGAGAAACAGUACAUUCUCAAUCCUCUCAAAAACAUUUUUUUUUUUUUACCUAACAUUAUUCUUUGGAAACGGUAUAUUGAUG